GGGGUGUCCAAACUUUUUCCCGUGAGGGCCACAGACUGACAAAUCAAAGGAUGCAGGGGCCAUUUUGAUGCAUUGAGAGGCAGCAGGCAAAGGAAUGAUGAACGCAUUCCCUCCACAACCACAAAAAUGUGCACGGCCCCAAGUGAGAGCAGUUCCUGAACAGUUUCACUGAGCUGCGCCCGACCAGGUGCUUGCCUGCAAGCCUUCCUCCGGCCCCAAACCACAUCCGGGAAAGAUGAACUCGGAAGUUGCUAAGCAAGGUCGGUUGCAUGAACAAAGGCACUCGCUCUCUGGUAACCGAGCAACGCAGGAAGUAAUCACUGAUCAGCGGGAGUGACACGCUAACAGCCAAUCCGUUCCACAAAUUCCUCAGUAAAAUUCACCGAGACGUCACUGUGGAGUUAUUGAGUCUGUUCAGCUGAUUGGAGAGCUAGCUUCCGCAGCUAGUAGGUCCAUGACGAUGACUUCUGUUUUGUUCGAUCAGCCGUUUUACUGCCGUGUUACAGACACCCUUUGGAUACAGUUAAGGACUUAAACGGCGGUGCUGUACCUGGUUGUGCUGCCAACGCCACAUGACAUCGUAUGGCAACUGGAAAUGGAUCCUCUUCAGCCUCAAGUACUUCCCUGCGACACACAAGAGGAGUCGGGAUGAGAGCGUUCCAAACCUGACGGCCACACUUUGGCCUCGUGACCACUCACCAACAUGGAUGGGCGCAGUGGAACCCGUUUAUGUCGACGCCCCUCGGACUGGCUGACUGAUGUUGACAUAGGUAAGUGCUUCUCAAUUAUUUUAUGUCAUCACCCAAAUUGAAACACGAUUUAGAACCUGAUAAUUGUCGUCUUUUUUUUCUUUAAUUGUACAAACCACUCUUUGAGUUGCUGGCACCAGCAUCUCCAUGCCACAUAGCUGGAGACUUGCGUUUUC